UCAGGGCGAGUUAGAAACACCCUGUGUGAACCACUCUGGGAAGAAGUGCUUCUGGUCAGCUGGGCCACCUUCCCAACUAUUAACAAAGGUCCCCACAGAGAGCCUGGCCUUGGUUGUUCCCGGUUUAUCUCAUCUUCCAAGCCCUCAGAAUAAUUCUGUAAAGAUUCCGGUUUAAUCAUGCCACCCACCUGGUUUAGCGUCCGAUGAACUGUCGCUUCCCUCAAAUCAAAGCCCAAACUCCUCACCACUGCACAGGGAGAGCCUAUAGCUUCUGCCUCUUGACUCACCAAGCCCAGCACUGCUUCGCCUACACGCGCUGCUGACGUCCACCUGAGGACUGAGGACAGGAAGGCUCUGAUCUCAGCCCUUCCACGUAGAGCUCCUCGUUAACUCAGUUCUAGGACAUGUGAUGCAGCUGACUUUAGAGGAGGAGGCAGAAGGCCACAAGUCAAGGGCCAUGAGCACCUUUAACAAGCAGAAAGGAAAGCAAAUGGGCUCUCUGCACGACAUUGGGCUGUCACCUCAGACUAGAUCAAGGCUUCUUAAACCUUUUCCUACCUACAGCCACUUUGAGAGGAGAAACGUUCAGAUAACUACAGAUAUAUAAAUGCAUAAUAUGGGUACACAAAUCAAACAUACACUGUUAUUAAAUCAUAAAGAAAUGUGUUCUGAAGGAAUCCAUUGCUAUGAAUGUAAUUUUACCAUUUAUUAAAGUUUAAC